UAACUAGAUGUGCUCUUUCUGAUUCCUAGAAGAAACUCUUCCUCUGUACCAGACCCAGCAAACAGUGGCAUAUGUGAUGACUGGCUAACAUAUGCACUUUGAAAGGUCACCCUGUCCAUCUGCCAGAUCAGCUGGCCCAAAGCAUCUGACUGACCUGUUUGUUUCAUUCCAGCAGUCUGGGGCUGACAAUCCAUGAAGGAAGAAUAAGGGAAUCCUGAAGCAGCAACAGACUGUUUGCUCCUGGACUUUGUCCAGAGGGACUGUUUGCACAUCAGUGCUCUCUCUUACCAGACACUCGUGUGACUGUGCUUGGAGCUGCUGGACUGGAACGCUUCAGACCCAUCCUCUCCAAAGGAGCUGCCCAUUCACUGUAACCCUUGGUGUGGAGCAGGGUGGCACCAGCCCUGGCUUGCUUGGGACCAUGGAAGAAAAGGAGAUGUCACCGAGUCUCACCUCAGAGAGCAGCAUAUUGGACCUCCCCUCUGUUUGUGACCUAGCAGAGCCCUUUCUGCCUCCACACAGCUCUGAAAACAGCCAGGAGCUUUAUCCUUCUGGGGAUGUUUUUCCCUCCCCACCCACAGGUAACAGCUUCUGCUUCUCCACAUGCUCUUUCUUUAGCCAGUGCUUCAUCUGUGUAG
rnacentral:lncRNA from 1 species